GACGAAUGCUGGCGGCGUGUCUAAUACAUGCAAGUAGAACGCACAGUUUAUACCGUUGCUUGCUACACCAUAGGCUGUGACUUGCGAACGGGUGAGUAACGCGUAGGUAACCUGCCUGGUAGCGGGGGAUAACUAUUGGAAACGAUAGCUAAUACCGCAUAAUAUUAAUUAUUGCAUGUUAAUUAAUUGAAAGGCGCAAUUGCACCACUACCAGAUGGACCUGCGUUGUAUUAGGUAGGAGGGGAGGUAACGGCCCCCCUAGGCGACGAUACAUACCCGACCUGAGCGGGCGAUCGGCCCCACUGAGAUUGAAACACGGCCCAGACGCGUACGGGAAGCAGCAGUCGGGAAUCCUCGGCAAUGGCCGAAAGUCUGACCCAGCAACGCCGCGUGAGUGAAGAAGCCUUUCGGAUCGUAAAGCUCUGUUGUCAGAGAAGAACGGGUGUGAGAGUGGAAAGUUCACCCUGUGACGGUAGCUUACCAGAAAGGGACGGCUAACUACGUG
rnacentral:rRNA from 1 species